AGGCGUUAAAACGAUACCGAUCUUGCACACAAAUUUCCCAAUAUUUUACAAUUAAACCUCAAUGUCAUUUGUAACUUAGAACUUUCUAAUUGUGAAAUGAUUUUCAUGAAAAAAAAAUUGUUAUGGCUCAAGAUACCGAAAGAUCAAUAAAUAGUGGAAACCACGCAUAAAGACUCGAUAGCACAUGCAUUGACUCAAUUAACACUAAACAAUUAAAUGAAAAUGAAAAUAAAUAAAAUAAUAAAUCUACCUAAGAAAAU
rnacentral:lncRNA from 1 species